AAUGAACGCUGGCGGCAGGCCUAACACAUGCAAGUCGAACGGGUCCUUCGGGACUAGUGGCGGACGGGUGAGUAACGCGUGGGAACGUGCCCCUUGGUACGGAAUAGCCCCGGGAAACUGGGAGUAAUACCGUAGGUGGUCGAGAGACGAAAGAUUUAUCGCCAAGGGAUCGGCCCGCGUUGGAGUAGGUAGUUGGUGGGGUAAUGGCCUACCAAGCCGACGAUCCAUAGCUGGUUUGAGAGGAUGAUCAGCCACACUGGGACUGAGACAUGGCCCAGACUCCUACGGGAGGCAGCAGUGGGGAAUCUUAGACAAUGGGGGAAACCCUGAUCUAGCCAUGCCGCGUGAUCGAUGAAGGCCUUAGGGUUGUAAAGAUCUUUCAGGUGGGAAGAUAAUGACUGUACCACCAGAAGAAGCCCCGGCUAACUCCGUGCCAGCCGCCGCCGUAA
rnacentral:rRNA from 1 species